AGGCAGUGGUGCAAGCCACAUAAAUGAUAGACCAUUAUAUAUACGUGGAGAAUUUUUGGUUCGCCAAGCUAAUGCUAAUUGCUUACUUGUGGAACUUCCCAGUAGAAGUGAUGACGAGAAAGUCUGCUUAUUAUGGACAACUGCUGAAAAUAUGGAGAAAAAUCAAGACAAUUGUCUUCUAGAUUCAUCAUGCAAAGAAAAUAUGCUAGAGCUUACGGAACACUUUAAUAAUUGCAAACAAUAUGAUGCUUCGGAAAAACGUAAAAAUGAAUUGGUAAAAAAGGAAUUGUUAAAUGAGGACAUUUCCGCUUCUAAAGCAUAGAACAUGGUUAUAGUUCACUGACUCGCACCAACAGAUGGAAUUUCUUGUGUUGCCAAACUGUUGAAAUAAACUGCUGAAUGAUAUCACUUGUAA